rnacentral:rRNA from 1 species
AAUAUUGGACAAUGGGGCAACCCUUAACCAACCAAUCCGCGUGUGUGGAGAAGGUCUNNNGGUUUNACAGCACUUUUAGUUGGNGGGNAGGGGUUUAGGUUAAUACCCUUAAGUUUUGACGUUAACAACAGAAUAAGCACCGGCUAACUCCUUGCCAGCCGCCGCGGUAAUACAGAGGGUGCAAGCGUUAAUCGGAAUUACUGGGCGUAAAGCGGGCGUAGGUGGUUCAGUAAGAUGGGUGUGAAAUCCCCGGGCUUAACCUGGGAACUGCUUUCAUAACUGCUGAGCUAGAGUACGGUAGAGGGUAGUGGAAUUUCCUGUGUAGCGGUGAAAUGCGUAGAUAUAGGAAGGAACACCAGUGGCGAAGGCGACUACCUGGACUGAUACUGACACUGAGGUGCGAAAGCGUGGGGAGCAAAC